CCGGCGACCGGCGCACGGGUGAGUAACACGUAUGAAACCUGGCCCGUAGCAGGGGGAUAAGCGGAAGAAAUUCCGUCUAAUACCGCGUAACAACCCAUGGAGGCAUCUCUGUGGGUUUAAAGGAAGCGAUUCCGGCUACGGAUGGUCAUGCGUCGCAUUAGCUUGUUGGCGGGGUAACGGCCCACCAAGGCGACGAUGCGUAGGGGUUCUGAGAGGAAGGUCCCCCACACUGGUACUGAGACACGGACCAGACUCCUACGGAAGGCAGCAG
rnacentral:rRNA from 1 species